GUCCUGCUAGAGAUCACACGAAGCUCCGUCGUCACGAUAAUUACAGAUCGAAAAAUUAUAAACAUCGUGAGAGUCCAUUGUAUAGAUGGCAUAGGUGGCGCAAUGCGCAACGCGAAAGGUCCACUUAGUCUCCUUGCUACCGAUACAUCCGCCAUUUUGAGUUAUUUUGUGCUACCGAUGGCUGCGGAGUUUCGUCGUCUCGUUGAUUACAAUUUUUAUUCAUCAUAUACAACUAAUCCAUCGACUUGAACACAUUCAACUACAACUAUCGUCUACUUUCUUCUAUGGAGGCUCUUCUUACGCAGUAUGUACAAAAAUUUUAAUUACAUUUCAAUUAAUA